ensembl:lncRNA
GUUUUCCAGGAGGUGUUUGGCUAUUUAAUCGAAUAAUUUAAAACCUACAAGCCUAUUUUGUCUGCCAUCAAAAAUGAGUAUGACAUCACAUUAGGUAUGUACAAUCUUUUUAGUAAUUUGUGGGAGAGGAAAUAUUUGUGCUAGUAGGCUACCACCAUAUCAAUUUUUUAUUAUUAUUAUUGUAUCAGUAUUGUAUUAAAUAAAAGGCAUGUUAAUUUAAAACAUCUAAAAUUGAUGCUGAUCACCUUCAAAACAUAAACUGUAGCAAAGGCAAUAUAAAGAAACCCAAGAUGUGUAAUAUAAAGUAAAAUUAAAUGCUAAUAGAACUCAAUUGGUCAUUAGUAAGUCAUGAGGAAAAUAAUAGAUGAGAUGACACUAAUCAAAGUGUUAAUGUCUCUCCCAGCGCAUCUUCGCGAACAGAUCAGGGAUCUGCUACCACUGCGGGGGAAGCUGGUGCUUGUGUCAGAACAGUGUGAAAAGAAGAUUCUGGAUCAGAGAGUACAGGAAAGAGAUGAGAUCCGAGCUCUGAAGCAAGAGUGUCAGCGUCUGCAGUGUGUCAUUGAGAGUAUGAGAGGACAACAGACUGCAGAUUCAGAGGAUGAAUUUGAGGAUCCUGUGGUGGUGAAAAUGGCUUUGCAGAUGUGUAGAGAGGAUCUUACCAAAGUCCAAGUUGAGCUUAACCGCCUGCAAGCUGAAUACAGUGAUGUGGUCCCACGAUAUCCUAAAUCAUAUGCAUGAGGAGACUUUAAUGAAGCUGAAAACCUUACAGACAGACUUUGACCAAUUAAAGUCUGAGUAUGACACACUGCUCGAGGUUCAUCGUCAGGUACUUGUGCAGAGAAACAGACUUCAAAGAGGUCUAUAAUGAUAAAUAAAUAAUCAUAAACUGAUUACUAAACA